GAUGAACGCUGGCGGCGUGCCUAAUACAUGCAAGUCGAGCGAACAGACGAGGAUCUUGCUCCUCUUACGUUAGCGGCGGACGGGUGAUUAACACGUGUAUGACCGACCGAUGAGACUGGCAUAACUUCGGGAAACCUAAUCUAACACCGGAUAAUAUAUUGAACCGCAUGGUUCAUUAGUCAAAACCGUUUUUGCUGUCACUAAUAGAUGGAUCCUCGCCGCAUUAGCUAGUUGGUAAGGUAACGGCUUACCAAGGCGACGAUGCGUAGCUGACCUGAGAGGGUGAUCAGCCACACUGGAACUGAGACACGGUCCAGACUCCUACGGGAGGCAGCAGUAGGGAAUAUUCCGCAAUGGGCGAAAGCCUGACGCAGCAACGCCGCGUGAGUGAUGAAGGUCUUCGGAUCGUAAAACUCUGUUAUUAGGGAAGAACAAAUGUGUAAGUAAAUAUGCACGUCUUGACGGUACCUAAACAGAAAGCAACGGCUAACUACGUG
rnacentral:rRNA from 1 species